AUGCCUCGGACGGCGUGGACGAGCUCCCGCAGGGUGCCCGACAUCUCCUCGGGCGUGAGGAGCGGGGGCGGAUCCGCCGUGGUGGUGACCGGCGCCGGCGCGGUGGUGGUGACGGUCCCGGACGUGAUCGCCGUCAUCGGCGCGGAGGUGGCCGGCGGCAGCAGUGGUGGGGCGGAGGUAGAUGGCAGCGGUGGCGGUGAUGGAGGAAGCGACAUGAUCGGCCUGGUGUCUUUGGAUACCAAAUUGGUAGGACUAGGGUCCCUAGCCGCGACAGGGAAGAGGGGGACGGAGGCUGGAGCGGGCGCGCCGGCGGUCGGGCGCCGUCGCGGCUAG
rnacentral:rRNA from 1 species